rnacentral:misc_RNA from 1 species
GAUGAAGAACGUAGCGAAAUGCGAUAAGUAGUGUGAAUUGCAGAAUUCAGUGAAUCAUCGAAUCUUUGAACGCACAUUGCGCCCGCCAGUAUUCUGGCGGGCAUGCCUGUUCGAGCGUCAUUUCAACCAUCAAGCCCCCGGCUUGUGUUGGGGACCUGCGGCUGCCGCAGGCCCUGAAAAGCAGUGGCGGGCUCGCUGUCACACCGAGCGUAGUAGCAUACAUCUCGCUCUGGGCGUGCUGCGGGUUCCGGCCGUUAAACCACCUUCAUAACCCAAGGUUGACCUCGGAUCAGGUAGGAAGACCCGCUGAACUUAAGCAUAUCGAUAAGCGGAGGA